CGGUGGAGCAUGUGGUUUAAUUCGAUGAUACGCGAGGAACCUUACCUGGGCUAGAAUGUAGUCUGACNGUGGGUGAAAGCCUUUUAUCAGAUUAAGAUGUGACGAGCGCAACCCCUAUCAAUAGUUGCCAUCGGGAUGUCAAGCAUCAUGGCCUUUAUGCCCAGGCUACAUACAUGGGAAGGACAAGAGCUGCCACCUGGUGACAGGGCGCUUCUCAAAAACCUUCUCUCAGUUCAGAUUGCAGUGCAACUCGCCUGCAUGAAGCUGGAAUCGCUAGUAAUCGAGAUCAGCAACGCCACGGUGAAUACGUUCCCGGACCUUGCACACACCGCCGUCAAGCCAUGGAAGCCGGGUGUACCUAAAGUCAGUAACCGAUCUGGAGCUGCCUAGGUAAAACUGGUAACUGGGGCUAAGUCGUACAAGGU
rnacentral:rRNA from 1 species